rnacentral:rRNA from 1 species
GAUGAACGCUGGCGGCGUGCCUAAUACCUGCAAGUCGAGCGAAUGGAUUAAGAGCUUGCUCUUAUGAAGUUAGCGGCGGACGGGUGAGUAACACGUGGGUAACCUGCCCAUAAGACUGGGAUAACUCCGGGAAACAGGGGCUAAUACCGGCUAACAUUUUGAACCGCAUGGUUCGAAAUUGAAAGGCGGCUUCGGCUGUCACUUAUGGAUCGACCCGCGUCGCAUCAGGUAGUUGGUGAGGUAACGGCUCACCAAGGCAACGAUGCGUAGCCGACCUGAGAGGGUGAUCGGCCACACUGGGACUGAGACACUGCCCAGACUCCUACGGGAGGCAGCAGUAGGGAAUCUUCCGCAAUGGACGAAAGUCUGACGGAGCAACGCCGCGUGAGUGAUGAAGGCUUUCGGGUCGUAAAACUCUGUUGUUAGGGAAGAACAAGUGCUAGUUGAAUAAGCUGGCACCUUGACGGUACCUAACCAGAAAGCCACGGCUAACUACGUGCCAGCAGCCGCCGUAA